CCUUUCGUUAGGGGGACCUGCGGAGGGAUCAUUACCGAGUUUACAACUCCCAAACCCCUGUGAACAUACCACUUGUUGCCUCGGCGGAUCAGCCCGCUCCCGGUAAAACGGGACGGCCCGCCAGAGGACCCCUAAACUCUGUUUCUAUAUGUAACUUCUGAGUAAAACCAUAAAUAAAUCAAAACUUUCAACAACGGAUCUCUUGGUUCUGGCAUCGAUGAAGAACGCAGCAAAAUGCGAUAAGUAAUGUGAAUUGCAGAAUUCAGUGAAUCAUCGAAUCUUUGAACGCACAUUGCGCCCGCCAGUAUUCUGGCGGGCAUGCCUGUUCGAGCGUCAUUUCAACCCUCAAGCACAGCUUGGUGUUGGGACUCGCGUUAAUUCGCGUUCCCCAAAUUGAUUGGCGGUCACGUCGAGCUUCCAUAGCGUAGUAGUAAAACCCUCGUUACUGGUAAUCGUCGCGGCCACGCCGUUAAACCCCAACUUCUGAAUGUGACCUCGGAUCAGAGAUGCCG
rnacentral:rRNA from 1 species